GCUUGCAGUGAGCCGAGAUUGCGUCACCGCACUCCAGCCUGGGCGACAGAGCGAGACUCCGUCUCAAAAAAAAUGACUGGACAAAAAACACUCUGAUGCAAACAGGCAAGAAACCCAGCAAGGCCUAUCUGGAUUCUCCUUGGCCUGUCUGCAGCAUUCAUUCCUUCUGGGUAUGGAACAGGACCCUCUGGAAUGGGGGCUGUGGCCUACAACAGUUAAACAAGUGAACUAAAGGGCUCCCAAAAUCUCUCCUGCAGCAUUUUCCUUGAGAAGGAGGAAGGUUUGCAUCUCUGUGAGAAGAAACAUCAGAAGCAGUUGAAAGACCAGGAUGUGGGUCCUCUGGGGCUGAGGAGGCAUUCUGAAUCAACUGUGUGUUCUACACCUGUGUUUUAACUGUGACCUGUCACAUGAGGACAAGUGUGGAAUUUCCCACUUUUGUGCCAUAAAUCUCUCUCUGGGAACAGUGUGGAAGAUGGAUUGAAAUGGUGUAAAAUUGAAGAUGUGGACUCCGGUUGGGAGACUACACCCUAGAUAAGAUGAAGAGAACUUGAAGCAAGACAAUAGCAAUGGGAAUAUAAAGGAGAGGAGACAUUUGAGUGAAAUUAAGGAAGCACAAUCUGCAGACUGUUUUCUUUUUUUUAAGAGUCAGGGUCUCCCUAUUUUGCCCAGGCUGGUCUCAAAGUCCUAGGCUCAAGCGACCCACCCACCUCAGCCUUCCAAAAUGCUGGAAUUACAGGGGUGAACUGCCUCACCAUGCCUCAGUCUGCAGAAUUUGAUGACUGAAUGUAUUUGGAGAGAGUCUGUGGCUUGGAUGACUGGAGACGGAGUUUCUCCAUUUUGGCCAGUUUGGUGUCGAC
rnacentral:lncRNA from 1 species